CCUACGGGUGGCAGCAGUCGAGAAUCAUUCACAAUGGGGGAAACCCUGAUGGUGCGACGCCGCGUGGGGGAAUGAAGGUCUUCGGAUUGUAAACCCCUGUCAUGUGGGAGCAAAUUAAAAAGAUAGUACCACAAGAGUAAGAGACGGCUAACUCUGUGCCAGCAGCCGCGGUAAUACAGAGGUCUCAAGCGUUGUUCGGAAUCACUGGGCGUAAAGCGUGCGUAGGCUGUUUCGUAAGUCGUGUGUGAAAGGCGCGGGCUCAACCCGCGGACGGCACAUGAUACUGCGAGACUAGAGUGAUGGAGGGGGAACCGGAAUUCUCGGUGUAGCAGUGAAAUGCGUAGAUAUCGAGAGGAACACUCGUGGCGAAGGCGGGUUCCUGGACAUUAACUGACGCUGAGGCACGAAGGCCAGGGGAGCGAAAGGGAUUAGAUACCCCAGUAGUC
rnacentral:rRNA from 1 species